rnacentral:rRNA from 1 species
UACGUAGGCAGCAAGCGUUGUUCGGAGUUACUGGGCGUAAAGAGUGUGUAGGCUGUUCUCUAAGUUUGGUGUGAAAUCUCCCGGCUUAACUGGGAGGGUGCGCCGAAAACUGGAGGGCUUGAGUAUGGGAGAGGAAAGCGGAAUUCCUGGUGUAGCGGUGAAAUGCGUAGAUAUCAGGAGGAACACCUGCGGUGUAGACGGCUUUCUGGACCAUCACUGACGCUGAGACACGGAAGCGUGGGGAGCAAACAGG